GGCACGGUGGUGCCAUGGUUAGCACUGUAGUCUCACAGCUAGAGGGUUCUGGGUUCGAACCCGCUGGCCA